UAUCAAUAAGCGGAGGAAAAGAAACCAACAGGGAUUGCCCUAGUAACGGCGAGUGAAGCGGCAACAGCUCAAAUUUGAAAUCUGGCGCAAGCCCGAGUUGUAAUUUGUAGAGGAUGCUUCUGGGCAGCGGCCGGUCUAAGUUCCUUGGAACAGGACGUCACAGAGGGUGAGAAUCCCGUAUGUGACCGGCGCGCACCCUCCACGUAGCUCCUUCGACGAGUCGAGUUGUUUGGGAAUGCAGCUCUAAAUGGGAGGUAAAUUUCUUCUAAAGCUAAAUACCGGCCAGAGACCGAUAGCGCACAAGUAGAGUGAUCGAAAGAUGAAAAGCACUUUGGAAAGAGAGUUAAAAAGCACGUGAAAUUGUUGAAAGGGAAGCGCUUGCAACCAGACUCCGUGGCGGUGUUCCGCCGGUCUUCUGACCGGUCCACUCGCCGCCGCGGGGCCAACAUCGUCCGGGGCCGCCGGACAAGACUGGAGGAAUGUGGCUCCCUCGGGAGUGUUAUAGCCUUCAGUGAUGCGGCGCGUCCCGGGCGAGGUCCGCGCUUCGGCAAGGAUGUUGGCGUAAUGGUUGCCAGCGGCCCGUCUUGAAACACGGACCAAGGAGUCUAACAUCUAUGCGAGUGUUCGGGUGUCAAACCCCUACGCGUAAUGAAAGUGAACGGAGGUGGGAGCUUCGGCGCACCAUCGACCGAUCCUGAUGUCCUCGGAUGGAUUUGAGUAAGAGCAUAGCUGUUGGGACCCGAAAGAUGGUGAACUAUGCCUGAAUAGGGUGAAGCCAGAGGAAACUCUGGUGGAGGCUCGCAGCGGUUCUGACGUGCAAAUCGAUCGUCAAAUUUGGGUAUAGGGGCGAAAGACUAAUCGAACCAUCUAGUAGCUGGGUCCUGC
rnacentral:rRNA from 1 species